GGAAAGAAGAGCUCUAGAAAGAAGGAUAUCUGAAAUGGAAGAGGAACUAAAAAUGUUACCAGACCUGAAGGCAGACAACCAGAGACUAAAAGAUGAAAAUGGGGCCUUGAUCAGAGUUAUAAGCAAACUUUCCAAAUAAAGGGUUUACUACAGCAGCGAAUAACGGUAUUGCACAUCACUAGUAACUCCAGUGGACCACAGUAUGGCAGUCACUGGAAGUGUGGGAAGAUCCCUUGGAGACUGUCAUUUUUCAGAUAUCCUGCCAAACGCCCUCUUACCUGUGUGUUUUUUUGUAUCAAGAUCAUUGUUUCUGUUAAAAUGCAGCUGCUGAGAAGAUGAAAUGACUGAGAAAUCUUGUUUACAGCUACAGCGUAAUAAGGAAAGUGUUCAAGGCCAGAUAUGCCUCAGAUAUUUAACCAGUAAGCCUUAGUUGUACAUAAACACUUUUACAUCAACAAAAGCUUUCAGCUCUCACAGAAGACAGUUACUCAAUAAUGUUUUUGUUGUGCCACAAUUCCCAGGUUUUUUCUAUACUCAGUUUUUCUUUAAACCUUAAGGGUUUGGUUUUUUUUCCCUUCUAAUUAUUCAUGUACCAGAUUGUCUUGUACAGUGUUUUCACAGCUUUACCAUUUGCAGAGACCACACACCCUUUUAAAUUACAUAUUUGUGUAGCUACCUAGAGAUGUAUUGUCCAGCCACCUGGAACAGAGAUGCUUGGUGGAACAUUUGCUUUCACUGUUUGUGCAAUAUGCAUUUAUUUCCUAUACAAAAUGCUUUAAAAGUCAGUUGAAACUAGAAAUAUUUUAAGAGUCCUGUUUUCUGCCUUUAUUGGUCACUUUAAAAAUAAAAAAAUAAAAAAAAAAGUUUGUAGUGAAAGAUGUUAGAUCCUGUAAUCGUCACAUUCAUUUGAGCAGGUACUGAGUGAUGCUGUAUAUAUAUAAAUGUGUACUGGUUUGAUUUUUCAGACCACCACGUGGCAUGCUUGAAUAUAUUUCCCUAUUGCAAAUGUCUGUUAAUGCAAAUUAGGCUACUCCAGAAUAGUGUGUUUAACAAAGUUCAUUAAUUUUUAUGGUAUAAAGAAUUUAGACAUUGUACAUUGUAUGGAGCCCUAUCUUUACAAAAGGUCUAAACUAUAUAAAAUACUUUAUUAUCUUUUCCUCCCUUUUUUUUUUAAUUUGAUAGUGUUCACCAUAAUAAAAAAUUGCAUAAAUAUAACUGCUUCACUACAUUUCACAUACCUGUAUUUAUCUGAGUGCUGUCCAAAACUGUUGUGCUAGCCAAAGUAAUGUACUAAAUCAUCUGAGAAACAUAACCCAUUACACUCACAUUAAUGUUUAUAUGCACUGUUGCUGCCAUGUGAGAAGGCAUCCAAUUUGAUAACACCAUCAUGUCAGACCAUUUUAUACAUUUCAGUGGCCUUUAAAAACAAAGAAAGUACUUAAGUGAAGAUCGCUUUUGUUAGAAACAGCUUUUAUAUUUUCACUAAACCAUUCAAACUACGACAUCCUAUCGGCACAUAGUUUAUUGCCUAAAACCACUGAGCAGAUCAGCCAUUAAAACAAAUUGUACAUUGUAAAGCUUGUAGUAGCUAUUGUAUUAUUAUUAUAUUGUAUACUAUAUUAAAUGUGAAUUUGUACCCCUUCAUUUAAAAAGGUCAUUGUGUUCUACUGCCGACUUGGGGGGCGGGGGGUAGUUUUUUGGGACUGGGAUAUGUUUUGGUAAGGAAGACAUGAUGUCCUCUCUGUUGAUUGGUUUUUUGAAGAUGUAAGGUUAUGCUCUUACUACCAAGCUCAGGAUUCUUGAUUUUAAAGGUACACAGAUAGUUUGAGAUAUCUUAUUGUAACUGAUCUGUAUGAGAGGUGGGUCUGAACCAUAGGGACUUCCAUUGUCUUACGCUAACAUAAAAUAAAGAAUUGAAUGGCUGCAACGUAUUGAGUUCUGUUACAAGACAGUUAGGCAUAUUCUGGAUUAUAUUUGGUAAAGUUUGGGUGCCUGUGAAUGAUUAAAUACGUGUUUCUAAUAUUUUAGUGUUUUAUAUUUAGGUUAUUUAUUCUUUAUAUCUAAAAAAUGAAUGGCUACUGUGCUAUAUUGAUUUUAUUGGUAGUACUGAGCAGACCUUGUAUCUGCAUGAAACUAGUUGCAAAACCCACUAUUUUGGAAAAAAAAAAAUUGUAUUUUGACAUAUACAAAUAAAAUGAAUACAAACUA